GAUGAACGCUGGCGGCGUGCUUAACACAUGCAAGUCGAACGGAAAGGCCCAAGCUUGCUUGGGUACUCGAGUGGCGAACGGGUGAGUAACACGUGGGUGAUCUGCCCUGCACUUCGGGAUAAGCCUGGGAAACUGGGUCUAAUACCGGAUAGGACCACUUCUUGGAUGUUGUGGUGGAAAGUUUUUUCGGUGUGGGAUGAGCUCGCGGCCUAUCAGCUUGUUGGUGGGGUAAUGGCCCACCAAGGCGUCGACGGGUAGCCGGCCUGAGAGGGUGUACGGCCACAUUGGGACUGAGAUACGGCCCAGACUCCUACGGGAGGCAGCAGUGGGGAAUAUUGCACAAUGGGCGCAAGCCUGAUGCAGCGACGCCGCGUGGGGGAUGACGGCCUUCGGGUUGUAAACUCCUUUCGCUAAGGACGAAGCGUUUUGUGACGGUACCUGGAGAAGAAGCACCGGCUAACUACGUG
rnacentral:rRNA from 1 species